rnacentral:rRNA from 1 species
CUCCUACGGGAGGCAGCAGUAGGGAAUCUUCCGCAAUGGACGAAAGUCUGACGGAGCAACGCCGCGUGAGUGAAGAAGGUUUUCGGAUCGUAAAACUCUGUUGUUAAAGAAGAACAAGGAUGAGAGUAACUGCUCAUCCCCUGACGGUAUUUAACCAGAAAGCCACGGCUAACUACGUGCCAGCAGCCGCGGUAAUA